CAUCACUACGCUAGAUGCAUAUCAAUAAGCGGAGGAAAAGAAACUAACAAGGAUUCCCCUAGUAACGGCGAGUGAAGCGGGAAGAGCUCAAAUUUGAAAUCUUCAAGGGUUUACCUUGACGAAUUGUAGUUUAAAGAAGUGUUUUCUGCUGGAGUUUCGGUAAAAGUUCUUUGGAAUAGGACAUCAUAGAGGGUGAGAAUCCCGUAUUUGACCAGUUACUUUCAGCUGUGUGAUACACUUUCAAAGAGUCGGAUUGUUUGGGAAUGCAGUCCAAAAUGGGUGGUAAAUUUCAUCUAAAGCUAAAUAUUGGCGAGAGACCGAUAGCGAACAAGUACCGUGAGGGAAAGAUGAAAAGAACUUUGAAAAGAGAGUUAAACAGUACGUGAAAUUGUCAAAAGGGAAGCGUUUGACACCAGUGUUGUUUAGCUCGAAAAUCAAUUAAAUAAUUUUGAUUUUAAGUAUUGUUAUGACCUUAUCAGCUUGACUGUACUUUUUUCUUGCUACUUAUUGAAUGCACUUUUCAGUUAACAAGUCAACAUCAAUUUCUUUUGUUGUAAAAGGGUAAGAGGAAGGUGGCUUACGCUUCGGCGUAAGUGUUUAUAGCCUUUUACCUCUGCAAUCGGAGAGGAUUGAGGACAGCAGCGUAGACUCCUUCGGGGGUUAGAUACACUUGUGCUAAGCUAUAGCCUUGUAUAGACAACUUGUUGACUAUGCUCAGUCAUGUAGCUUACUCGCUUGUGCUAUUUUACCUACGCUUAGGAUGUUGACACACGCGCGUGCUCG
rnacentral:rRNA from 1 species